UACGGAGGGUGCGAGCGUUAAUCGGAAUUACUGGGCGUAAAGGGUGCGUAGGUGGUUUGAUAAGUUAUCUGUGGAAUCCCCGGGCUUAACUUGGGCAGGUCAGAUAAAACUGUUGGACUCGAGUAUGGGAGAGGGUAGUGGAAUUUCCGGUGUAGCGGUGAAAUGCGUAGAGAUCGGAAGGAACACCAGUGGCGAAGGCGGCUACCUGGCCUAAUACUGACACUGAGGCACGAAAGCGUGGGGAGCAAACAGG
rnacentral:rRNA from 1 species